UACGAAGGGGGCUAGCGUUGUUCGGAAUCACUGGGCGUAAAGCGCACGUAGGCGGAUCUUUAAGUCAGGGGUGAAAUCCCGGAGCUCAACUUCGGAACUGCCUUUGAUACAGCACAUCUGGAGUCCGGAAGAGGUGGGUGGAAUUCCUAGUGUAGAGGUGAAAUUCGUAGAUAUUAGGAAGAACACGGUGGCGAAGGCGGCCCACUGGUCCGGUACUGACGCUGAGGUGCGAAAGCGUGGGGAGCAAACAGG
rnacentral:rRNA from 1 species